rnacentral:lncRNA from 1 species
AUGUGGAGGGAAGGGCAGAGCUUCGAUGAUGCCUUCCAGUUUGUGAAGGCUGCUCGUGGGAUUGCAAAUCCAAAUAUGGGGUUCGCCUGCCAGCUGCUCCAGUGCCAGAAGCGGGUGCACGCGAUUCCGUUGUCCCCAAAUUCAGUCCUCAGGAUGUACCGUAUGGCACCUCACUCGCAGUAUGCCCCUCUGCACCUAGUGCCCAAAAUGCUUAAUGAACCAUCCCCUGCCGCCCUGGACUCUAGAGGUGCAUUCAUUGUACAUGUUCUGUCUUCGAUCUAUGUCUGGGUUGGAAUGAAGUGUGAUCCGGUAAUGGAGAAAGAUGCAAGAGCUGCAGCCUUUCAGGUUGUGAGGUAUGAGAAGGUGCAGGGGCAC